UUCAAAAUGCGAAAACCCUCUGUUAAUCCUGAACGCGUAAUUUUAUCUGCAUUUCGAUUUUGUUUAGAAUGUAGCUAGUUUGUUUUUGUAACAACACUUUAUAACUUGGUAGGAUUCAGUAUUUGCCUUGGCCCAUCCGCAUAUGAUGUUUUUUGCACUAUAAUCAAAAAUAGUUUAGAAACUUUGUGUUAUAACAUUGGCGUCCCUGCACGCCUCGACGUUCUACUCAAUAUACUCUUUAAACUCAUUUCCUGUAUCCCCUAUCAACCAACAAGUAAAUAUGGCAAUGCUAUGUCGUGGGCUAUACGUAUUUUCCCCAAUUCAGUUGCUGGAUGAGCAGAUGCAAGAGCAUGAGAAGUAUGGUGGUAAUCCAGAGCAACCCAGUAAACAGCACGUGGUGACGCGGGAGAAGAAGCUAGUGGAGGGAAGUUGCCUGCAGAAGGAUCCAGCCACUCAAGCUGCCCCAUAGUCUCCCUACUGAAGAAGGCACCUACCUGAACAGCAGAGAGAUGAUCAUACGACACCUCAAACAUGUAGAGGACAGUAAAGCUGUGAAUAAGUAGUUUGUCUGGUCUAUCAAAAAAUCCAUGAUUCAAAUGACUCAGUGAAAUCCCUGUACAUGUGUUCAGUCUAGACCUGGACU